rnacentral:lncRNA from 1 species
UAUUUUAAAACACGCAAAUGGUACAAGACAUUAUGAUACUCAGAAUAAAAACACAAGGGCAUAAAAAAAGCAACCUUGUUUUAUCAAAAAAAAAAUGAAAAACAUUUUUAAUACUACACGCUUUAGCUUCUAUUCAAAAGUAAGGGGGUACACAAAAAGCAACGUUUUUCAACAUGGGGAAAGUAAGAAAUCCAUGUGUCAAGUUUUAUUAAAAGAAAAUAAAAACUGUUCAUCCUCGGAAAAUGCUAAUAUUUUAUCUAAUUAUAAAAAGAACAAUAAAAUUAUUUUAAAAAAUUAUUUUUUACACAAAACGAAUUUAAAAAAUGAAAUAACAGACAUGCAUAACAAGCUGACAGAAGAUUCUUCUAUUGAUAAACAAAAAGAAGAAAUUUUAUUUUUAUUAAAAAAUGCGAUCAAUCCAAAUUUGAAAGGAAAAAUAUAUUUCAUUGGUUCGUGUGAAAAUAAUAUAUGGAUAAAAAAUUCUGACAUUGACUGUUGUAUAGUAGUAGAAAAGUGCGAAGAUAAAAAUGCCUAUUUAUAUAUUUUAAAAGUUAUUAAGAGUGCCAUUAAUUUAAUAUAUCCAUCUCUAGACGUAAAUAUUAUUAAAGCAUCAGUACCAAUAGUAAAAAUAUAUAAAGAUAAUAUCAACAUUUGUGACAUCAGUAUAAAUAAUACAGUUGCAAUAGUCAACACUCAUUUAGUUUCAUCGUUAUGUAACUUAGAUAGUAGAAUUACUAUUAUAAAUAGGAUAAUUAAAUAUUGGGCAAAACAAAAAAAUAUAAAUAAUAGGUAUUGGCGAUUGUUGCAUAUGUUCGUUUAUCCAUUCGUUUGUCCAUUCGUUUGUCCAUUCGUUUGUCCAUUCGUUUGUCCAUUCGUUUGUCCAUUCGUUUGUCCAUUCGUUUGUCCAUUCGUUUGUCCAUUCGUUUGUCUAUUCGUUUGUCCCUCCGUUUUUCCAUUAAUUUAUCUAUUUUUUUUUCACAUUCGUUUAUCUAUUUUUUUUUCACAUUCGUAUAUCUAUUUUUUUUUUCUUUUUAAAGGUCUCAAGGCACAUUCAGUUCCUAUGCUUUGUUUUUAUUAACAUACUUUUUUUUUCAAAAUUUGGAAAUUCCUUUACUACCAGCAUAUAAGUAAAACAAGAAAAAAAAAAAAAAAAAAAAAAAUGCAUAUAUAGAAAAAUAUAUAAAUAUCAGUACAGCAUAAUAUAAGCUUGUUUGUUUUUUUUUUUUUUUUAAGAGUAAAUUGACAUGUAUAAAUGAUGCCUUAUGUUUGAUGUACUCAUAUAUAUAUAUAGCUAUCAUAAAAAUAUGUGUAUAUAUUAUUUUUAUUUAUUAAUAGGGCAAUAGAACGAGACAGCACGGCUCCUUUUGAAAUUAACAGUGAAUGUAAGAGAUAGUAUUUAUGCAUAUAUGUAUAUGUACGUAUGCAAGUAUUCAUUUAAACAUUUGUAUUACUUUUUUUUUAUAUUUCUUUUUUUUUUUUUCAACAUUUUUAGAUUUUUUUCUACAAAAUGAAGUACAAAUGCCCUUUUACACUAGCAUUGAGUAAAAUUGAAGAAAAAUAUAAAAAUUGCAGAAUGGCAGAGGAAAGAAUAUGCACAUUGGUACAACAUGAUUUAUGUACUAACCUAACCACUUUUAUUUUAUUUCAUUCUAAUUUCAUUUUUAAUUUACAGGGACUUAAAAAAAAAUUUUGAUAAUUUUCAAAAAAACAAAGAAGAUGUUUCAGAGUUACUAUAUGGAUUUUUCGAGGUAACAAAUAUGUGUGUACAAAAUAUAUAUGUAAGCACGAGGGUGUAAAAAAAAAAAAAUUAAAAAAAAAAAAAAAAUCUAUUUAUAUAUAUAUAUAUAUAUAUAUAUACACGUCCUACUAUAAAAUAAAAAGCUUUUUUUUAUGAAAAAAAUGUUGUAA